UACAGAGGUCCCAAGCGUUGUUCGGAUUCAUUGGGCGUAAAGGGUGCGUAGGUGGCGCCGUAAGUCGGGUGUGAAAUUUCGGAGCUUAACUCCGAAACUGCAUUCGAUACUGCGGUGCUUGAGGACUGGAGAGGAGACUGGAAUUUAUGGUGUAGCAGUGAAAUGCGUAGAGAUCAUAAGGAAGACCAGUGGCGAAGGCGGGUCUCUGGACAGUUCCUGACACUGAGGCACGAAGGCCAGGGGAGCAAACGGG
rnacentral:rRNA from 1 species